rnacentral:lncRNA from 1 species
GCAGCCAAGGCAAACACAAACGGAAGACAGAUAAUUUGCACACAAUGGCGCGCACGUGUGCUUGGUGUGCGCGCGCGUACGUGUGCGUGUGCGUGCACACGCAGCCUUUGUUUACAGCCCGCUGCUGGGGCUGGAAGUGAGCCCCCGCCCUUUUGGUUUGCAAUCGUUCAUCUUGUAGUUUUGUGGGCGUCUCGGUGCAAACAAGAAGGGAGCCUCACGUACACGAGCUGGGCAGGUGGUUAGGUGGGCGCUUCCAGGUGCACGGCUGCGACUCCGAUAAGAUCUUUCCCCCUGUGCUUUCUCUAAGCUUUAUGAGGUCAAAUAAUAAAGCGUAAAAAUACAGGGCUGAUUCCAGGAUCGGUCAGCCUCAGAGGCUUCAAAGUGUGUCUCCGGGACACUUCCCUCAGCCACCUGGGGCUGUUUGGGAACCACGAAGGAGGGAGAGGGCUGACAAAGUGAGCUGUCCCGCCUGGAGGAGAGGGGCUCAGCCCUGUGAUCCGGUUAACCUGUCCUCCCAAGGGUGUGGGGCCGUGGGGUUUGUACAAAUCAGGCUGAGCCAAGGCUGAAUUUUUGAAGGUGUGGAUGGGAGAAGCUGUUCCCCUGGUGUGUUUGGCGUCGUAUCUGUGGUAAGACACGUGGUGACAAAGGAAAUUAAAAACUUGAGAAGCAGCAGGGAGGAUGCGAGCGUGUUAUGCCUGCAUUUUUCUGAAGGCUUUUGCCUUUCUUUCUCCUGUUCCCAGGUCCUUUUGUAAAGGUCAGGUCAUCCUGAGCUAUCACACAGCAGCCUGGAGCAGAGGAGGAGGUGCUGCCUGGGUCUGAGUUGCUGUUUGGGUGCGCAUACAGCGAGGCUCAUUAACUUCUGCUGCUCAGGAGAUACCACCCAAACCACAAGUGGGCUGCUCAUCUCAGACACCCGACCUUCACGCUCCUCGCAGGGAUCCUGGUGCUUGUACGAGGACCAGGAGAGGGAUUUGCUGCCGGUGAAGGCCGUGGCAGGUGAGUGGCUUUUGCUCCUGCCAUGGACCUGCUGCCUGCUUGGUUUUUAGCAUUGCUCAGUGCAUCUUGUUCUGCAAUCACCGUGCUGUCUGUUCGGGCUGAA